CCCCCCUUUCAUCAUAAUGUCAACUCACAGGUCAUUUAAAAUGCCAGAUUUCCCCGCCUCAGACUUUGUUAUGUGAUAAUUCAGACCUUUACAAUGCAGUUCUUAAGUUUAAGAUGCUAAAUCCUAAAUAUAAAUGUAAUCAGCAGGCCUAACAGAAAAUGAAAGAACAGAAAGUCUGUCUGAAAGGCCCAUCCAAUCAGUGCAGAGCUAGUGGGUGUUUGCACCUGCCUAAUUAAUUUCCACACCAAAGGUUCCCAUUGUGUGUCUGCGCAAAGCCGGACUGACCUGAUACAGCUGUCCUUGUCCAUUAGAAAUUGUGUUUCUCGGGACAUAUGGUCGGAUGGUGGGACGGGUGUAUGUGAAGUGUGUGAAGAUGGAGGUGCUGUUGACAGUCACCACGGUGUGCUACCUGGCCCACUUCCACUCUAUAAAUGUAAAUGAAUGAAUCAUGCUGGCGACAUAUGCUCCAGUGAUUCUUCAUGUGCCAGAAGCCUGCAGGUCCGGUACUCCUGUAGCCCAAUAGUAAUUCCACAAUCUGUUCCUCUCCGGUCUCAGGAGGAAACCCCUCUAUCCUCCCUCUGAAGAGAGGAACACAAAUUGGCCUUUGCCGCGGGCAAGGCUUUUCCCCAAGAUGGUUGAAUAACAGGGACAUGCAGUACAGAACUGCCCGGUGCAGAACCCGGUGCCGCUCGAACAGCCCAUCUCAACCGGAGAGAGAUGCUUCUGCCAAAAAUCAGUGAUGAGCUGCCGCCCAUCUCUGCCAGAGAACACUCUUGCAGUACGGCAGGUCUGUGCCCAAAGCUGAUGUAAUGGUGCCACUUCCACAGAUGGCUCUGUAACUCUAUGCCACGUUAUCAGCUCCCCUCGCUCCCUGUGCUCAGUCUCAGAGCACCAGCAGCUUGUUAAUGAUGAGACUAGAUCUGUAACAGAACAAAAGUCUUCAGUGCUGGAAGACAGGUGGAGUAUUUUAUAUGUACUUUAUACUACGGGGAUGAAAUGUUAUGAUGCACUAAACGGUCCCAAGUGAGACAGGCAGGAAACAGCAAAGCCGCUACACCAGACAACAGGUGCACGUCUGUGUGGAGAGACGGCUAUAUCCUUCUGGAUUGUGUGAACAGACAGAGUUAAGUAGAACAGCAGAGACAGACCGUAAAAUGCUGACCAGGCAUGCAUAAGUUUAC
ensembl:lncRNA